AGUGAACGCUGGCGGUAGGCCUAACACAUGCAAGUCGAACGGCAGCACAGUAAAAGCUUGCUCUUACGGGUGGCGAGUGGCGGACGGGUGAGGAAUACAUCGGAAUCUACUUUUUCGUGGGGGAUAACGUAGGGAAACUUACGCUAAUACCGCAUACGACCUACGGGUGAAAGCAGGGGAUCUUCGGACCUUGCGCGAUUGAAUGAGCCGAUGUCGGAUUAGCUAGUUGGCGGGGUAAAGGCCCACCAAGGCGACGAUCCGUAGCUGGUCUGAGAGGAUGAUCAGCCACACUGGAACUGAGACACGGUCCAGACUCCUACGGGAGGCAGCAGUGGGGAAUAUUGGACAAUGGGCGCAAGCCUGAUCCAGCCAUACCGCGUGGGUGAAGAAGGCCUUCGGGUUGUAAAGACCUUUUGUUGGGAAAGAAAAGCAGCAGGUUAAUACCCCGCUGUUCUGACGGUACCCAAAGAAUAAGCACCGGCUAACUUCGUG
rnacentral:rRNA from 1 species